UACCAGCACCCCGAGUGGUCGGGACGAUUAUUGGGCCUAAAGCAUCCGUAGCCGGCCUUACAAGUCCUCCGUUAAAUCCAGCUGCUUAACAGAUGGGCUGCGGAGGAUACUAUAAGACUAGGAGGCAGGAGAGGCAAGCGGUACUCAGUGGGUAGGGGUAAAAUCCGUUGAUCCAUUGAAGACCACCAGUGGCGAAGGCGGCUUGCCAGAAUGCGCUCGACGGUGAGGGAUGAAAGCUGGGGGAGCAAACAGG
rnacentral:rRNA from 1 species